GUUAAACUUUUUCACCACUUCCUAAUACCGUGGUUGCUGAAAGUCAUUUCCUGGGGGAUGGGAGAACAGGACUCUAGGACAGAAAAGGGUUGUCCUUAAUCACUUGCUCAGACAAAAACAAGUCUCCUGAAAAACUAAAGAUUCAAACGGGGGGCAGAAAUACUCAAAGGAGAACUGCUGCUCAGCAGAAUCACAUCGAAUGAAAUCAUAAUUCUCAUGGCUUCUAUUAAC